UUUCAUUCCCCUCUUCUUUCUUUCUGUUUCCUCAGAGCCAUUUUAUCUCUCUCCUCUCUCUCCUCUCUCCUCAAACAAACCCUAAUCAACGACCUCUUGCUCCUUCCUUAUCUUCUUUCUCUUCUUCCUCUUUCAUGUUGUCGGCGCGUCGGUCGGUCCUAGCAACGGCGGCAGUGGCGCAAGGAGCUGGUACAAACCCACCUCUCGUCGUUUCGCCCUCCCGAAAUGAUUUUUCCUGAAGGACUUCCGUCUGUUUAUUUCUAUGAGGAUUUAUUCGAGGAACUAGACAAGUACGGGGAGAUUAAGAGUCUCAACAUUUGUGACAAUUUGGCUGACCACAUGCAUAAGCGCAGAGACGCCUUUCUCUUUCUAGUUGAAAAUCAUGCUACAACCAUUGUUGUCGGCGAAACUGGCAGCGGAAUAACUACUCAAAUUCCUUAGUAUUUGAAUGAAGGAGGAUAGGCUGAUUCUGGUCAUGUUAUUGCUUGCACUCAGCCUCGUCAUCUCGCUGUUCAGUGGUUAUCAAGGGUAUGAUAGCAGUAAUUGGUAUAAUGGUGCCUCAGCUGAGGAGAUGGCUUCGACAAUGCCGGUCAGUGGGGCUGAUAGCUUUGCUAGUUUGGUGGGAGGAAAAGAAAGGAUCAACCACCAGCUGAAAUUAUUGAGGUGAAGCAGGAUGAAUUGAUGAAGAACCGCCCAACUGGGGAUAAAUCUAAGCUUACUGGAAUAGCAUUUGGACCUUCUUAUCAGGUCUGAGCAAUUGGUCUCAUAGUACUCUGUAGUUAUAGUGGGUGCAUUUGGAUCAUCAAGUGGCUGUAUCUGAUUAUCUUGAUUGCUUGUGUUGUGUGUGGAAGACAGAGAAUAAUUUUUACCUGACAACUGCGGUUCUAUCCCUUUCAAUCCAUUCUCUCUAAGUAAUGACUAAUGAGGAUCUGCACAAAGUUAUUUUUGUUUGAAGCUUCAGCCUUUAAUAUGUAAUAUGAUAUUUACCUUCCAGCCGUACAGAUUGACAAAGAUACUGCAGUAUAGAGAGACAACUUCCAUAUAGCUUAAGUAACUUCAUUUGUUUUAGAGAUUUUUUUACUUAGAUUUUUUGUGUACCCUGAUGUAAUUUACUCCUACAUAUAUAUCGUGUUUGUUCUGAUUCUUUUUCGUGGUUCUGCAUGUUGAUUCAGCCAGCAGUACAAACUAGCAAUGGCAGCAGCAGCACACAACCAGCAGCAUAACCAAAGCAGCAACAACAGUACAGCAGCAGCACCACAAGAGAAAAACAAACAACAGCUAGCAACCCACCCAGCACCCCACAGCAACUCAUCCAUCACCAUGAAGGCAUUUAUGAAAUAAUUAAAGAGUAAUUUCAUAUACAAAUUUUUAUUUUAUUUUUUUGGACGAAAAUUGUAAUAUUAUGGCUUUUUUUUAAUGAAAAUAUG